rnacentral:rRNA from 1 species
CCUACGGGUGGCAGCAGUGAGGAAUAUUGGUCAAUGGACGAGAGUCUGAACCAGCCAAGUAGCGUGAAGGAUGACUGCCCUAUGGGUUGUAAACUUCUUUUAUCAAGGAAUAAAACGAGGCACGUGCGCCUUUUUGCAUGUACUUUAUGAAUAAGGAUCGGCUACCUCCGUGCAAGAAGCCGCGGUAAUAUGGAGGAUCCGACCGUUAUCCGGUUUUAUUGGUUUGAAGGGUAGCUUAGAUGGGUUGUUAAGUCAGUUGUGAAAGUUUGCGGCUCACCCGUAAAAUUGCAAUUGAUACUGGCAGUCUUGAGUACAGAUGAGGUAGGCGGAAUGCGUGGUGUAGCGGUGAAAUGCUUAGAUAUCACGAAGAACCCCGAUUGCGAAGGCAGCUUACGAAUCUGUGACUGACAUUGAUGCACGAAAGUGUGGGUAUCAAACAGGAUUAGAUACCCGGGUAGUC